rnacentral:rRNA from 1 species
GUCGACGCCCCGCAGGGGGAGUGGCAGACGGGUGAGUAACGCGUGGGAAUCUACCUAGAACUACGGAACAACAGUUGGAAACGACUGCUAAUACCGUAUACGCCCUACGGGGGAAAGAUUUAUCGGUUUUAGAUGAGCCCGCGUAAGAUUAGCUAGUUGGUGGGGUAAUGGCCUACCAAGGCGACGAUCUUUAGCUGGUCUGAGAGGAUGAUCAGCCACACUGGGACUGAGACACGGCCCAGACUCCUACGGGAGGCAGCAGUGGGGAAUAUUGGACAAUGGGCGCAAGCCUGAUCCAGCCAUGCCGCGUGAGUGAUGAAGGCCUUAGGGUUGUAAAGCUCUUUCAGUAGGGAAGAUAAUGACGGUACCUACAGAAGAAGCCCCGGCUAACUUCGUGCCAGCAGCCGCGGUAAUACGAAGGGGGCUAGCGUUGUUCGGAUUUACUGGGCGUAAAGCGCACGUAGGCGGAUUGGUCAGUUAGAGGUGAAAUCCCGAAGCUCAACUUCGGAACUGCCUUUAAUACUGCCAGUCUAGAGUCCGGAAGAGGUGAGUGGAACUCCUAGUGUAGAGGUGGAAUUCGU